rnacentral:rRNA from 1 species
CACCGCCCGUCACACCAUGAGAGUCGUCUACACCUGAAAUCACUUUAGCUAACCUGAAAAGGAGGCGGGUGCUGACGGUGUGGGGGAUGAUUGGGGUG